GCUAAAAGAUUCCAGACCAAAAACUGGAAUCAAGAUUAGAAAGUUUGCGUAGUUGAGAUAUCAAAAAGAGGAAGGGAUUAACGUUGUUGUCUGAUUCUAACGAUUGACGUGGUGGUUGAAAGGAGAUGGUUGUCAGUGACUUGGUAAUGUGUGGUGAUCAAAGCAGAAUAAUCAACGACGACAUAUAAAUCACAUUCUUAUUCAGCACCGCUUGAUUAUUGUAAGCUCCUGUUGUUUCUAAAUUCCAUGUCGAUUUCGCCGUAAAGGGCGUUUAAACGGAUGCAAACGC
rnacentral:lncRNA from 1 species